rnacentral:rRNA from 1 species
AGUGAAGCAGGCAACAGCUCAAAUUUGAAAUCUGGCGCAAGCCCGAGUUGUAAUUUGUAGAGGAUGCUUCUGGCCAGCGGCCGUUCUAAGUUCCUUGGAACAGGACGUCAUAGAGGGUGAGAAUCCCGUAUGUGACCGGCGCGCAGCCUUUACGUAGCUCCUUCGACGAGUCGAGUUGUUUGGGAAUGCAGCUCUAAAUGGGAGGUAAAUUUCUUCUAAAGCUAAAUACCGGCCAGAGACCGAUAGCGCACAAGUAGAGUGAUCGAAAGAUGAAAAGCACUUUGGAAAGAGAGUUAAAAAGCACGUGAAAUUGUUGAAAGGGAAGCGCUUGCAACCAGACUUCGUAGCGGUGUUCCGCCGGUCUUCUGACCGGUCUACUCAUCGUCGCGAGGCCAACAUCGUCUGGGACCGCUGGAUAAGACCUAAGGAAUGUAGCUUCCCUCGGGAAGUGUUAUAGCCUGUGGUGAUGCAGCGCGUCUCGGGCGAGGUCCGCGCUUCGGCAAGGAUGUUGGCGUAAUGGUUGUCAGCGGCCCGUCUUGAAACACGGACCAAGGAGUCUAACAUCUAUGCGAGUGUUCGGGUGUCAAACCCCUACGCGUAAUGAAAGUGAACGGAGGUGGGAAGCGCAAGCUGCACCAUCGACCGAUCCUGAUGUCCUCGGAUGGAUUUGAGUAAGAGCAUAGCUGUUGGGACCCGAAAGAUGGUGAACUAUGCCUGAAUAGGGUGAAGCCAGAGGAAACUCUGGUGGAGGCUCGCAGCGGUUCUGACGUGCAAAUCGAUCGUCAAAUUUGGGUAUAGGGGCGAAAGACUAAUCGAACCAUCUAGUAGCUGGU